rnacentral:rRNA from 1 species
UACGGAGGGUGCGAGCGUUGACCGGAAUCAUUGGGCGUAAAGGGCGCGUAGGUGGCCCGGUCAGUUCGUGGUGAAAGCGCGGGGCUCAACCCUGCGUCGGCCAUGAAUACUGCCGCGGCUGGAGCACUGUAGAGGCAGGCGGAAUUCCGGGUGUAGCGGUGGAAUGCGUAGAGAUCCGGAAGAACACCGGUGGCGAAGGCGGCCUGCUGGGCAGUUGCUGACACUGAGGCGCGACAGCGUGGGGAGCAAACAGG